rnacentral:rRNA from 1 species
GACGAACGCUGGCGGCGUGCUUAACACAUGCAAGUCGAACGGAAAGGCCCUGCUUUUGUGGGGUGCUCGAGUGGCGAACGGGUGAGUAACACGUGAGUAACCUGCCCUUGACUUUGGGAUAACUUCAGGAAACUGGGGCUAAUACCGGAUAGGAGCUCCUGCUGCAUGGUGGGGGUUGGAAAGUUUCGGCGGUUGGGGAUGGACUCGCGGCUUACCAGCUUGUUGGUGGGGUAGUGGCUUACCAAGGCUUUGACGGGUAGCCGGCCUGAGAGGGUGACCGGCCACAUUGGGACUGAGAUACGGCCCAGACUCCUACGGGAGGCAGCAGUGGGGAAUAUUGCACAAUGGGCGGAAGCCUGAUGCAGCAACGCCGCGUGCGGGAUGACGGCCUUCGGGUUGUAAACCGCUUUCGCCUGUGACGAAGCGUGAGUGACGGUAAUGGGUAAAGAGGCACCGGCUAACUACGUG